rnacentral:rRNA from 1 species
UACGUAGGGUCCGAGCGUUGUCCGGAAUUACUGGGCGUAAAGAGCUCGUAGGUGGUUUGUCGCGUUGUUCGUGAAAACUCACAGCUCAACUGUGGGCGUGCGGGCGAUACGGGCAGACUUGAGUACUGCAGGGGAGACUGGAAUUCCUGGUGUAGCGGUGGAAUGCGCAGAUAUCAGGAGGAACACCGGUGGCGAAGGCGGGGUCUCUGGGCAGUAACUGACGCUGAGGAGCGAAAAGCGUGGGGGAGCGAACAGG